ACACAGCCAGCUGGUUACUUCUAGCAGCAGGCAGUGCUCCGCUGCUGCAAACCCUCCUGUUGUGGUAAAAGAUAACCAUAAUGCUUUUCUUGAUACAGGAGAGAAGAAAUCACCCCCAGCAGUUAAGGGGGUGAAGCUUCGUACCCCUAAGGCUGGGAGGUCUGCUGCCACCACUGAUAAGAAACGUAGGGUAGUGGUGGUUGGAGACUCUCUGCUGAGGGGGACGGAGACACCCAUCUGUCGCCCUGACCGUUCAUCCCGGGAGGUAGGGGUCCGGGCAGAGACAGAUGCAUCGUGGAGGUGAAUGCCUGGCUGCGAAGAUGGUGUCGCCAGGAGGGCUUUGGCUUCCUCGACCACGGGAUGCUAUUUGAGGAAGGACUGCUAGGAACAGAUGGCGUUCACCUUUCGAAGAGGGGAAAGGCCUUAUUUGCGCACAGACUGGCUAACCUAGUAAGGAGGGCUUUAAACUAGGUUCGACGGGGACAGGUGAGCAAAGCCCACAGG